rnacentral:rRNA from 1 species
GACGAACGCUGGCGGCGUGCUUAACACAUGCAAGUCGAACGGAAAGGCCCUGCUUUUGUGGGGUGCUCGAGUGGCGAACGGGUGAGUAACACGUGAGUAACCUGCCCUUGACUUUGGGAUAACUUCAGGAAACUGGGGCUAAUACCGGAUAGGAGCUCCUGCUGCAUGGUGGGGGUUGGAAAGUUUCGGCGGUUGGGGAUGGACUCGCGGCUUAUCAGCUUGUUGGUGGGGUAGUGGCUUACCAAGGCUUUGACGGGUAGCCGGCCUGAGAGGGUGGCCGGCCACAUUGGGACUGAGAUACGGCCCAGACUCCUACGGGAGGCAGCAGUGGGGAAUAUUGCACAAUGGGCGGAAGCCUGAUGCAGCAACGCCGCGUGCGGGAUGACGGCCUUCGGGUUGAAAACCGCUUUCGCCUGUGACGAAGCGUGAGUGACGGUAAUGGGUAAAGAAGCACCGGCUAACUACGUG